rnacentral:rRNA from 1 species
AUUGAACGCUGGCGGCAGGCCUAACACAUGCAAGUCGAACGAGUGGCGGACGGGUGAGUAAUGUCUGGGAAACUGACUGAUGGAUGAGGAUAACUACUGGACACUGUAGCUAAUACCGCAUACCAUCAGAUGUGCCCAGCUGGGAUUAGCUAGUAGGUAGGGUAAAGGCACACCUAGGCGACGAUCCCUAGCUGGUCUGAGAGGAUGACCAGCCACACUGGAACUGAGACACGGUCCAGACUCCUACGGGAGGCAGCAGUGGGGAAUAUUGCACAAUGGGCGAAAGCCUGAUGCAGCCAUGCCGCGUGUAUGAAGAAGGCAUUCGGGUUGUAAAGUACUUUAAGUGGGGAGGCGUUACCAGCAGAAGAAGCACCGGCUAACUCCGUGCCAGCAGCCGCGGUAAUAC